rnacentral:rRNA from 1 species
AGGACGAACGCUGGCGGCGUGCUUAACACAUGCAAGUCGAACGAGGUCCAUCCGGUGGCAACACCGGUGAAGACCGAGUGGCGAACGGGUGAGUAACACGUGAGUAACCUGCCCUGGACUUUGGGAUAACCCUCGGAAACGGGGCUAAUACCGAAUACGACUUCUGCCCGCAUGGGUGGUGGUGGAAAGUUUUCGGUCUGGGAUGGGCUCGCGGCCUAUCAGCUUGUUGGUGGGUGAUGGCCUACCAAGGCGACGACGGGUA